GACGAACGCUGGCGGCGUGCUUAACACAUGCAAGUCGAACGGUGAAGGGGAGCUUGCUCCCCGGAUCAGUGGCGAACGGGUGAGUAACACGUGGGCAGCCUGCCCCUGACUCUGGGAUAACGCUUCGAAAGAGGUGCUAAUACCGGAUACGAACUCCCUUGGCAUCUUGGGAGUUGGAAAGUUUUUCGGUCAGGGAUGGGCCCGCGGCCUAUCAGCUUGUUGGUGAGGUAACGGCUCACCAAGGCGACGACGGGUAGCCGGCCUGAGAGGGCGACCGGCCACACUGGGACUGAGACACGGCCCAGACUCCUACGGGAGGCAGCAGUGGGGAAUAUUGCGCAAUGGGCGAAAGCCUGACGCAGCAACGCCGCGUGAGGGAUGACGGCCUUCGGGUUGUAAACCUCUUUCAGCAGGGAAGAAGCGAAAGUGACGGUACCUGCAGAAGAAGCACCGGCUAACUACGUGCCAGCCGCCGCUGUAAUAC
rnacentral:rRNA from 1 species